CUUGAUACCCCCACACUUAUUAUCCGCCCGGGUACUACGAGCACUAGCUUAAAACCCAAAGGACUUGGCGGUGCUUUAGACCCACCUAGAGGAGCCUGUUCUAUAACCGAUAACCCCCGUUAAACCUCACCCUCCCUUGUUCUUUCCGCCUAUAUACCGCCGUCGUCAGCUUACCCUGUGAAGGGCUCAUAGUAAGCAAAAUCAGUACAACUCAAAACGUCAGGUCGAGGUGUAGCAUAUGAGAGGGGAAGAAAUGGGCUACAUUCUCUGCUACAGAGAACACGAACAAUAUAUUGAAACAUGUAUUUAAAGGAGGAUUUAGCAGUAAGUAGAAAAUAGAGUG
rnacentral:rRNA from 1 species